AAACCAACAGGGAUUGCCCUAGUAACGGCGAGUGAAGCGGCAACAGCUCAAAUUUGAAAUCUGGCUCUUUUAGGGUCCGAGUUGUAAUUUGCAGAGGGCGCUUUGGC
rnacentral:rRNA from 1 species